AGCAACCAGACACCCUUAUCCCACCCCCUAGAGACUGAAGAGCUGCAUAGGGGAAACUGAGGAAAACAUUAAGAACAGUCCCACUUCGUCACAGUCCGAAAUUCCCUCACUGGUCCUGUGUCCCAACGAACUCCCUCUCCCCUCCCUCGUUAAACCAGGGACACUGAGUCCCACCCCCGCGGCAUGCAAACCAGUGACAAAACCCAGAGAACCCCCCCACUUCAUUACAGCGAUGGUGGGACACUGACCCAGGUGCUUGGCGGGAGAACAGAGGGGUUGUGUUCUCCACCGGGCGUCACUGACACCCAUUCGGCUACCGAGCGUCUUCCUGUCUUCACCCAGCUCCCCUCCCCCAUGGCGUGGGGUCCAGCUGAGCUUCUCUGACAGGCCAAUACUGAUCCAGGAGGCAGAUUUUCCUGUCCAAAGCCCCAGCAAACCGUGCGGCGCUGUGUUAAAACCAGCGUCAUGUCAGCCACAUACCGCAGGGACCAGUCCUGCCACUUCCUAGCCUGGGCAAGUCAUUGAUUUGUCCCGACCCCUCGAUGGGGGCCUUGUCUUCCCCCCGUGUCGGGGCCGUCAGACGUCUUCCCGUUCCGGGACCCAGAGCACGGCGAGUGGUUUGGCUACCUGGCGCAGGACGGGAAGGUGGCGCUCACCAUCAAGGGGGGACCCUUCAAGGGCUGCUUCCAUGUGCCACGUGCCCUCUACAUGUGCGAAGAGAUCCUGGAGAAGCUGCUGCAGGAGCCCUAGAGCCACCCUUGGGUGCUGAUAAAUAAAGUGCCUCCCUCAGGCUGGGCAGGACGCCUUUCUGGCA